GAUGAACGCUGGCGGCGUGCCUAAUACAUGCAAGUCGAGCGAACAGACGAGGAGCUUGCUCCUUCGACGUUAGCGGCGGACGGGUGAGUAACACGUAGGUAACCUACCUAUAAGACUGGGAUAACUUCGGGAAACCGGAGCUAAUACCGGAUAAUAUUUCGAACCGCAUGGUUCGAUAGUGAAAGAUGGCUUUGCUAUCACUUAUAGAUGGACCUGCGCCGUAUUAGCUAGUUGGUAAGGUAACGGCUUACCAAGGCAACGAUACGUAGCCGACCUGAGAGGGUGAUCGGCCACACUGGAACUGAGACACGGUCCAGACUCCUACGGGAGGCAGCAGUAGGGAAUCUUCCGCAAAGGGCGAAAGCCUGACGGAGCAACGCCGCGUGAGUGAUGGAGGUCUUCGGAUCGUAAAACUCUGUUAUUAGGGAAGAACAAACGUGUAAGUAACUGUGCACGUCUUGACGGUACCUAAUCAGAAAGCCACGGCUAACUACGUG
rnacentral:rRNA from 1 species